GAAGUUCCCUAUGGAUAGAGCCACUUUGACUUGAGUCUUGACUGUGAUGUCCCAAUCUUCAUUUAGCCAAUGAAGUUUAUAAGGUUUGGGAUGGGGUAUUACAACAAGAUUCAAUUUUUCAACCAGUCUUGUGCUACAACAAUUGCAGCAAGAACCACUAUCAAUAAUGAGAGAACAAUAAUUUUCUUGAAUUUUACACCUUGUAUGAAAGAUGUUCUCUCUUUGUGAUAAUUUUUCUAGACUUGGUUGACAUUAAGCACCCUUCUUACCAUAAGAAGUUGACAAUCAUCCGCAAACACUUCCUCUUCUUUUUCCAUGUCACUCUCACUAUCACUGGUGGGGGAUUCACUUUCACUGCUAUAAAUGUCCUU
rnacentral:lncRNA from 1 species